UCGAAGCCACCGCAUACCACGCCGCAAGUCGCCUCAUGCCGCCACCGCUUGCCCCUUUCUCUGUAUAUAGGUCGCCAACGCAACCCUGGGCCCCAGGAUCGUUCCCUCCUCCCAACCAGGCUCGAGGAGGCGGCCAUGAGGAGCGCGCAGCCGCCGCAAUCCUGGGCAGAUCUAGCCGGGGUCGUCGGCAGCCAUCCCUCCCUCCGGGCGGCCAUGAAGAAUUGAAGCGGCUUGCGCAGAACUAGCGCAUGGACCAUGCGCGCCUCCCGCGCUAGGAGCCACCGGUCCUCGUCAUCCGCUAGCAUCCACGAGGAAUCGAUCCAUAUGUAAUGGCCGUUGACGAGGAUGUGAGGUGGGCGACUGCACAGGGCCCCCAAAAAUUAGGGGGCUUCAAAUCCUGUAUAUGUGUUCUUCAUCGCCAUGGAUCUGAGAGUGCCCGAACUGCUUGUUUUUGUUGGAGAAGAGAGAACAUGAAGAAGAGGGACCUAGGUCGUGGGCCCCUUUGGCGAAGGGGUAAGUGCCUACUGCAGGUCUGGUCCAACCAGUUGUACUUGUGCGAUUCAGCCACUUCUUCAAGGAGCCACAAAAAACCAGUCAGUACACCUGAUCGAAAUACGAGAGGGGAAAGCCCUAGAUGGACGACGUGGUCAUGGCUGACGGCCGCACCGAUACGAGCGGCAUCCUUGGUUCCUCUGUGUGUCCUAGGGCGGUGAGGCCCAUGAUCUCGUCCAUGGAGCACUGUAGCAUCAUUGUUGUGCCUCUGCUAUCAUCCGUCGCCAGAACAAGCAGACAUGUACGUUUCCCUUGCCUGACGCAUUCCCAUAGUCAAUGUGAGUAUUUUGUUCAUAUUGACAUCACCACAUGGCUAUUUCUAAUUUCCAUGUUCCUCUUUUGUAUGAUUGGGAAUUCCUUCUGUCAUGUUUAUUUGUUGCCCAUCUCAUGGCUGGAAUCGUUCCUAAUUAGAGGCUCUUUUCUUGAGUUGGUCAGUACUAGAAGGCACUAACAUGCUAAUUGAGACAAGCAUGGAAAAUAACUUGUACAGUCAAUGUUGUACUAGACCACUACAUUAGAACAGAUGCAUUAUUUUAGUUUAAUUUCCAAUACAACUUGCCCCAAACAGCUACUCCUAGUUAGAUUUGGAGUAUAUAUGCAGAGUUAGAUUUGAAUGAAACUAGCUACUUCUGUCAAUGUCAGAACUUUAAGUUUUAGGUAUAUAUGUUAUUCCUAAUAUGCUUGCUUCCCCUUAUAAUUUCAGUCAUUUUGGCUACUUAGAUGUUGGUUUAAUUUGAUUAUGUGGCAUGUAGUUCAUUUGUUGUUAGCCACAGUCCAGGGGCCUCAAUUUUCUGGAGAUCGCCUGGGUUCUUUGCAGGGUUCUGAUGAUAUUUCCAAGGAAAUAUACUGAUCCUGAUGUGAAAAAACUGCCCAUUUUUUCCUUUCUUAAACAUUUUUACUCUGUUUUUUGUUCUUCCUAGUUCCAGCUUCACAUUGCUGGUGUUUCAUGCCAUAUUCAUCAGAUCCUGCUUACAUGCCUUAUCAUUAACUUGAUUAGUAUUUCUGCCACUGUCCAACUGGUUCUUAAAGGUACUAAAUCCAGAUUGAAGAGCAAACUCUAUUUGCAGGUGCCAACGAAGAGGAUUGACAAAUAAGAUAGUAGUCCAAACUUGCAAAAUACCUUUUUCAGAGAUCUAGUCCUAAUAAGACUCCAGGUGCAAGGCUAACUGUUAUUUCUUCAAGUGCGCUCUAAUUGUUAUUUCUUCAAGUGCGCUCAUACAAGCUGAACAAGGAAUUCUCAAAUGUUUAAAGCAAUUGAUCCAAAGAUCUAGCUCGACUGGACAGUUAGUCUUGGCCUUAAUUAGGAUGGCCAAAUUACAUUUGAGUAUCAUUUGAUGGAUAUUUGCUAUGAGAAUUAUGAAUUUUAUGAAUCUAUAUAUUAUAUGUAUGGUUUUGAAUAUUGUAAUUGAAUGCAUGUAUUUUUUUUAUGGUUGCAAUAGGCUAUUACCACAAUCCACUUUCGGUUGCCACAUGUUAGCAUCACGAAAAGUUUAAAUUGUCGCAAUAG